AUCUGAACUUAUAAACUUCACAUCAACACCACCCUAACUAGCCCUGUCUCUGUGAUUUACAUAUUCCCGCCAAUGAAUGCGGCUCAUUAUGAAAGGAUAAUGCCGAGAAUGGACAGACAACAUGUGAGAGUGAUAUCGGGGAUUAUAUUGCUAAUUAUUGUAAUCAGGUGUUCAUAUUGUCAGGACUUCGCCACGGAUGCUCCAAAGGAUACACAAUUUAUAGAGGGGACUUCAACGACCCAUGAAGCUAGCAGUGCGGAAAAUUCACCCUCAUUAGACCCCUGUUCCAACACAUUCGAACACGACAUUCUGACAGACGAUGGCUUCCGGUCACCCGCCUGUCGUAGAUCCCAGUCUGAGCCUCGUUGUGAUGAUAACAUUGUCGAGGGGUGGUACGUCCUUCACUCGUCCGACGGAUCGACCACCCUUAGGGUUCACCGAGAGUGUCCCAGGCAGAGCAGGUGUGGAACAGACAACCCUAUAUGGAUGAAUGGUACCUACCCCGCGGUGGCGGAUGGGAUAGUAGAGAGACAGAUGUGUGUGAGGACGGCGUUCAGUUGUUGCCAGGACUCGUUCCACGUCAAGGUCAAGAACUGCUCAACCUUCUUAACCUUCAAACUGAAACCCGUACCCAAGUGUAACCAGCGCUACUGCUUUGACAGGAAUGAGUGUGCACCCAUAACCAAUACGGCUCCUAUAACCGCAGAGUUCACAGGUAAGACAGAAUCAUUGCAUCAUUUCGAUGUCUUUGAAAUUCUAGACUUUUAAUACUUCAAUACUACAAAUACAUUUGAAAAACUCUUCUUUAUAAUUUUUUCAACAUUGUUUAUUAGAAAAACCGUUCUUAAAUUCGCGGAACCUAAUAGCACUCCCCACCCCUAAAAAAUCAUUAAUUAACAAAUUCUCUGAACAUUUCAAAGCUGUGUCCAUCCUACUUGUGGCAUCCUUGUUUAAUUUCUUUGUAUUUAUAUAUUAAUAAGUACUUCUGACCAGAAUAUUUGUGAUGUAUAGUGUCUUAUUGUCCUCAUGUAUCAUUUACAUUUGCAUGGUUUUAUGCGGAUAAAUGAACAUAAAACAAAUCAAAUACCGGUAUUUUAAACACGGAGUAAUAAUGACCAAAUUGUAUAUAGUUGUAUGUUUGGGUUGCUUUGGAUAAUGUAAACCAUAAAUCACUUACAGAUGAUAACCUUUGUCCCAAUGGAACCUACAGGAAGUCCAACAACAACGCAAGUCAAGAAAACAGGAACAAUCCCUGUCUGUCAUGCCCCCUGGGCUUCGUCUGUGCCAACGGGAACAAAUCGCCCUGCCCGCUGGGAUUCUACUGCCCACCUGGGUCCUCUAAGGCUGAGUUGUGUCGUCCAGGGAACUACUGUCCGAGGGGACCCCAUUACCCAGUGCAAUGCAAAGCUGGGUUCUAUAACCCAGCCAAUGCAAGUAUCAACAGUUCAGCAUGUCUGCCUUGUCCACCGGGCUUCUACUGUUUCUCCAAGGGCCUUGAUAGUCCCACAGGGCCAUGCCUUCCCGGGUUUUAUUGUUCCGGAAGUUCAACCAAAGCCAACCCUGAUGACGGAAUUAUGGGGAAUUUAUGCCCACCUGGUCAUUAUUGUCCAAGAGGUUCGGGACAGCCGAUUCCUUGCCCUGAGGGCUUUUUCAAUCCGACCUCCAUCCGUUCAAAAUGUGAAAUUUGCCCAAAAAAUCUUACAUGCCCAGAAGGAUCAAUAUACCCUUUCGAAUGCAAUUUUGAGAAUGUCUCUUUAAGUGUGGAGUGUUCCUUACGCCCUGGUAAGUACUAUAUGUUAUAUUGCACUGUAGAUUACUGAAAUGACCAACAAUGUCCAACAUAUAAUUGAUUCUUGGCUAAAGGGCUACAUAUAUAUUAUAUCGUAGUAAUAAUGUCAUAUAAAAUUUUGAUUACUUUUUUUAUUACAAAUUUUCCUGUUUACUGCAGAGCCCACAGCGAAUCCAUGUCGUAACCCAGAUGGAUCGCGCAAAUAUGGAGUAUGUGAAGAUUGCCCACCUGGAAAUCUAUGUAAAAACGGAUUCAAUAUCAGCUGUCCUGCCGGAUAUUUUUGUCCGAACGGAACAAGUGUAUUUAUCUGUCCGGAAGGAUUCUUCUGUCCGGCCGGCCGGACGAGUCCGAUGCCAUGUCCAAUCGGAACCUUUAAUCCUUAUUCCGGCAAUGGAACAGAGAAAGCCUGUUUGAAGUGUACUCCGGGAUUGUUUUGCAAGGAUAAAGGUUUAAGUGUUCCCUCCGGGCCCUGCUCACCCGGGUUUUAUUGCAAUGGAGGAUCAGUCACUCCCCACCCAUUAAACGGACACGGGGGAGAUAUAUGCCCAGUCGGACACUAUUGUCCGGAAGGGACGGGACUGUUCACUCAAUGUCCGCCGUCCACGUACAACCCAUCCAGAGGGCAAUCGAACAAUCGGUCCUGUUUAGCUUGCCCUGAGGGGCUGACCUGUAACAGAUCGGGACUCGCACUGCCCAGAGAAUGUUACGCGAACUCCACGAAUAUUACGGACGCUUUAACAGACAUCAGUUGUCCAGAACUAGGUAAUGUAAUCGUAAUCCUAUUGUAGUGUUUCAAAAAUUAUUUAGAUUUACACAAAAAGUUUUGUCGUAUUACAUGUGUGUUACCUGGAACAAUGGUAAAGGACAUGGAACGAAUUUGAAGAAUUAUCUAGAUUCUUCUCUCUGUUAGUCUAUGUAUGAUGCACAGUUUACGCAAUCCGUGAUUAAUGAAGAAGGAAUUGUAAGGACACUUCGUAAUUGGGCCACAUUUGUCAAAGUUGAACAUCAAUAUAUCAUUUUAACAAAUGGGAAGGAAAGCGUGUCUAAUCCUUACAAAUGUGCUUGUGAUGUUGAGCAAUCUUUUUAGCUGGUAAUUGCAACAGGAACAAAUCAACAACC
rnacentral:misc_RNA from 1 species